AGGCACGUAGCUCAGGGGGAGAGCACUACCUUGACACGGUAGGGGUCGUUGGUUCAAAUCCAAUCGUGCCUACCA
rnacentral:tRNA from 2 species